rnacentral:piRNA from 1 species
UUUUAAAUACUCUGUGAGGCUUCCUAUGG